UGCAAUGGCUCUUGGCCGCUGUGCGCCUAGGCUGCUCCACGCCAGUGGGAGGGCGCACGCCUCCUCCCUGGGCCCCCUCAUAGCCCUGGCGGGGAAUGUGGUGCCGCAAGGCUGCUGGCCCCGGAAGGAGGCUGGUGUGCCGGGCUGACAGCAUGCCCGCUGGGGAGAAACGCUGUGCCCCGAGGGUCCCCACCUCCCACUGGCCAGUAGAGGGCUGUGGGUGGAUGCUGCAGCAUGCGUCCGUGGGGGAGGACCUGGUCCCUUGAGGCCAAUGUGCACCCCGUGGGCAGAGAUCUUGUACACUGAUGCCAGCGUGGCCAACGGAAGGGGAAGACAUUGCAGCCCGAGGCCACCAUGCUCUUGGCGAAUAGGGACAUUUGGGCCCUUGGACCACUCUGGGGGCAUGUCACACCCUUGGGCAGCAAGUGACUGGCAGAGGACAGCCCAGCAGUCAUUAUCACCACAUAAAGUUGCAUUCAUCUAAUCUCAGACAUUCAGUUUACCUGGGGAGAAAGUUUUCUCAUCAUUUUACAGAUACUUGUUCCCGAGGGCCAGAGCUGAUCAUACAGCUUUUCUGAGAUUGUAAACUCUUUGGGGCAGGGAGUGUCUCGUGUCUGCGCUUAUACAGCACCUAGAGCAAUGGAAGUGCUGGGCAACACUGCAGUACUAAUAGUUUGGUGAGUAGAAGCAACUCAUUAAGGCAGCCUAUCACUUUUCAUUAUAAAAAUUCCUGCAAUCAUUUUGUUUUUUUAAGAAACUCACACCUCCACGGUUUGCUGAAGGACUUUGAAAUUUGGAGGAAUUGUCCUGAUGUCAGGGAGAUGCCUUUUGCUGGCUUCAUGUACAUCUGU